GGCCCGCCUGCUCUUUGUGCUGGAUUGUUUGUGUGACUAGUGUGCACGGUUGAGGUUAACGUGUUUCCUGUUUGUGGGUUUUUGCUGGACGGUUUUAGUCCCCGUGUUUGGGGCAUUUGUUUUGUGUGCGCCCUGUGUUUUCGUGGGGUGGCUUAUGUUUGCCGUUUGUGCAUUAAAUAGCACUACCCUGAACUCUCUGCUUCUUGCGCCUGACUUCGCACCCACUACACCCAGAUCGUUACAGUUAUAAGAAACCUCCGGUGGAUGGUUAUAUUUACUCUGUCAAUACAUGGCACACAGUGGUCCUACGUGUAGCUGGUGUACGAAGUCGGGCGCAGGACAGCAGAUAUGAAUAAUAAAAGUACUUUACUCAAAAAAUACAAAUAAACAAGGCAACAAUGAGAGCCCACAAACAUGGACCCAAUUACAAUAAAUAAUCACUCACGAACAGAGGGUUACAUAAUAAACAAGUAAUUGGUGAGUGAAGCCAGGUGUGAUAAGACAACGACAGAACAAAUUGAAAAAUGAAAACUGGAUCGACGGUGGCUAGAAGGCCGGUGACGUCGACCACAGAACACCGCCCGAACAAGGAGAGGUGUCACGACUUCCGCCGAAUUCGGUCCAUCUACACACAAUGCCCCAUAAUAACAAAGUUAAAACAUGUUUUUAGAAUUUUUUUGCAGACUUAUUGAUGAAAUACAAAUCUAAUUUACACAUGUAUUAACACCCCCGAGUCAAUUCAUUUUAGAAUCACCUUUGGCAGUAAUUACAGCUGUGAGUCUUCUGGGGUUAGUCUCUAAGAGCUUUGCACACCUAGAUUGUACAAUAUUUGCCUGUAUCUUUGUAGUGACUGGGUGUAUUCAUACACCAUCCAACGUGUAAUGAAUAACUUCACCAUGCUCAAAGGGAUAUUCAAUAUCUGCUUCUUUUUUUUACCCAUCUGCUAAUACUAUACAUGUCAUCCUUUGCGAGGCAUUGGAAAACCUCCCUGGUCUUUGUUUGAAUCUGUGUUUGAAAUUCACUCAACUGAGGGACCCUACAGAACUGUAUUUAUGUGGUACAGGGAUGAGGUAGUCAUUCAAAAAUCAUGUUAAACACUAUUGCACACAGAGUGAGUCCAUGCAACUUAUUAUGUGACUUGUUUAGCAAAUGUUUACUCCUGAACUUAUUUAGGGUUGUCACGCCCUGACCGUAGAGAUCCUUUUAUUCUGUUUGUUUGGUCAGCCUGUGACUCGGGUGGGGAAGUCUAUGCUUUCUGGUUCUUUGUUUUUGGUCGGGUAUGAUUCUCAAUCAGGGACAGCUGUCUAUCAUUGUCUCUGUUUGGGAAUCAUACUUUAGGCAGCCUUUUUUAACUUUUCUCAUUUGUGGGUUGUUGUCUUUGUUAGUGGCAUGUAUAGCCUUACAGAGCUUCACGUUCGUUUUGUUUAUUGUUUUGUUGGCGACAUUUAAAAUAAAAGAAUGUACGCUUA